AGGUAGCAGCAUCAGCAGGGCAUCAGCGGAGGUGGUGGCGCGGCUCCCGCAGAUAACUUGGAGGCCCCCAAAGGAGGCAGGAGCAGCAGAGCAGUGAGGCAAAGAGGAGCUGAAAUAACCUCUUUUACUGGAUCAGCUUGAAGAGGUGGUCAACUAUUUGGAAUGGAGAAGCAGCAUGCAGGGGAAAGGUUCUUAAAAAGCCACCUACCGCCCAGCCAUUUCUCUCUUUAAAACUACAGGCUCUUGAAGCUGAUUUUCCUUAUUAAAAGGAACAGUUGGUGUUUAAAUGCACAUGUAUUUAUGUAACUUCGAGUUAAGCCCCUUCAGUCAAACAGGUUGAAUGCAACAGCCAUUUGAAAAUGGCUGUCUCAAAGACAAGUUAAUUGAAUGUUCAUGGGAAAAUUAUUAUGAGGAAAAUAGCAUAUCACCUCUUCUUAUUUCUCACAGUGGGACCACUCCUUCUUUGGCUUUGGCCUUGGCCUGUUUCUAAAAAGAAAUGUUUACAGCAGGCUCAGAAGUGCUUGUGAAUUAAAAUGACAGACUGAAUAAAACCGACAAUUGUUUGAUUGAACAAUUGGGUUCAUUACAACUGCUUGGAAUUCUCUGUUUGUGCUGCAUAUGUUUGAUGUGCAAAACCAUUGUGUGAUUAGCCCAGACUUUCAGGUCAACCACUUCAAGUGACUGACACCCCAAACCUAGAUAUUAUGACCCCAGUCUAGGGCCUUUUGAUGCCCACAGAGAGCUCCUACUGGAGAAGUCUUCCCCAUUCACUUCACUGGGUGAGAUGUUUUGGUAGGAGUGUGCAUUCAUUUUGAAAUGAAUGAAAGAUUGAACCAAACUGAACUCAUUCCAUUCAUUUUCCAUUUGUUGCAAAAUGAAUUCAGAGAGGUUUCUGAAUUCAUUAGUUCCAUGUGAGACCUCCAUUCACUUCUAGGAUGGGGGGGCUUACCUUAUAUCAUGGCAGAGCAGCCAACUUCUCUCCUUUUUUUUGGUAAUGAUUUAAAAGUGAAAUGGAAUAGCAUAGCUUCUUUUGUGGCAGCUUCUGGUGUCAGCCAUCUCCACCCCCACCCCACACACA